CGAGGGUGGAGCCCGAGCCUCCACUGGAGCAUGGAUCAGACGUGCAGGAGGUGGAGCUCCGCAUGGAUUACGACGUGGUCGUCGUGGGGGCCUGGAUCAUCAAGUCCGCAGGCGGCGUCGAGGGCGGUGCAAUGCCAGCUGCUGGACAUAGUUCACCCUGGGUUGGUGCUGAUGCACAAGGUGAAUUUUGAUGCCAAGACGGAGUACGACAUGAUCCAGAACUACAGGAUUCUCCUGGAUGUGUUCAACAAGUUGCAGAUAGGCAACGUACGGGUGGUGAUUCUCCUGGCUUAGGUCUCUACCCGUGGAUUUAUCCGUGAUUGUGUCUUGCAUUUUGUCAUCUGGGAAAGAAAAUGCGAUCUGUCUGUACAAUAGUUCGGUUUAUAUAUGUGGUGUGUGGGGAUUCAAUCUAGAACAGUUGUGUGUGAUUGAUGUCAGCAUGUGGUAUAGCCACAAGGUGAUUUGAUAACUGACUAAAUUUGUUGUGCAGUAUUGAAGUUAUGCUCAUUGCUGUGUACAGUACUAAACUUGUUCAAUUCUUGUCUUGUUUCCACACAACAUUAAGAUUAGAGUCGUGCUUUUUGAAUGUUGAGCCGAUUUUUAUGGCCUGUGUGCUAGCAAACUGAGCUUAGGGUGCUUCAUCUUUGUCCUUCGGCUUCUAUUCUUAUGAAAAUUAAAUAGAGGAUCUAUUUUGCUCCCUGCUCUGAUUGGUUUCAAUCGAUAUUUAUCUCAUCCAGCACUCUGAGUAUCAAUGUGUUGUUUUAAUCCUGAUGAUGACGUGGUAGUAUGAAGUGGACACCAUAUUCCUGUUUAAAUGCACAGGGAAUAAUUUGUUUCAUCAUGUCCUGGUUUAUCCAUGCCAGAUUUGUUGCUUCCGGAACUCUUGGUCCUUCAUAUCUAAAGUUUACAUGUACUAUAGAAGCUCUACUUUAUGCUAAUACCUGCUUGUGUUACAUUUUGCAUGGUAUACUUCUAAAUGGACAAGUACAUGCGGCGUCCAUCAUCAACGAUGAUGCGGACUGAUGUUCAACUGCAGAACCAUCCAUCAUAUCAACACAAAGUCAGAUGUUUUGCAAAAGGAAGAAGCAGUACUUGAAGAAGCAGAUUACAAUGUUUUCUUGUCGUGAAGCACUAGAUAGGCUUGUUCUAUUUAUUUUUCCUGUUUUGGAGUAUUCCAGCACAUGAAUGCUUGACUACAACAUGUCGUAGGUUGCUUGGAUCUGUAUAAUAUACAUAUGUGAUGGAAAUUUGUAGAAUGUGUGUUCUGAGAUAUUUCCGUAAUAUUCAGCUAAUUCGUGGUAA